GCGAUACACAUGAACAAGAUGGCGGAGUUCGAAGGGAGACGAAAAUUGCUAUUUCUUUACGGCAAGUAACCAUAUCUGGAGAUGAUUAUGAAUGAUUUACUCUGCUCCCCCAGUCUUUUUGAUAGCUGUAUUUGCUGGAGGCUCCACUUCAGUGAACAACAUUCAAGAGGCACAUGUGAAAUGUUACAGAUAAGCCAAAGUAAUAGAGUAAAAACAUUACUAUGUACAACACAUAUACAUGUAGCACUAAUUUCAAAUAUUGAUGAAAUCGUUUUGCUUCAUUGUCGUACAAGGCACUUUAAUGUCAACUCAACCCAUCUUUGUUAUCAAGCUCACUAUUGGUACUAGUUUCCUGACGUGCAUUUUCAAAAUCAUAGAAAAUAAAUUUGUUUAUAAUUUGAAAAAAACUAGCAAUUAGGGAACGGCUAACUCACAGGUGAGAAAACUGGAGAACUCGGAAUAACUCUAAGAUCACGGCAGAGACCUAACCAAAACUACUUAUUGAUGAUGGUCAGACCUCAGAGGUGACGCAUGAAUUGAUUUGUAUAGGACUCCACAGCUGAUUGCAGUAAAUUAUGGCCAUGGUGUAUCGUGAAAGACUGAAAUAUUUGCCUCAAGAAUAUUGCCAGACUAUUUAACAAUCAGAUAUCUGAGAAUUAUUUAUAGCUAACUUUCUCAAAGAUAUUUAAAUCCAAAACUGCUUAGGUUUAAUAUAUAGAUAUUGAGACAUUAAGGUUUCAUUAGAAUCACUGGAUACCGUCACAUUUAGUUUCAUAAUUUAACACAGUGCUGGACAAAAUAAUGAGACAUAAAAAGGAAAAUUUUACAAUGAAAACAUUGAAGCUUGUAGGAGUCCACAA
rnacentral:lncRNA from 1 species